rnacentral:rRNA from 1 species
AAGUCUCAGUUCGGAUUGAAGGCUGAAAUUCGCCUUCAUGAAGCCGGAAUUGCUAGUAAUGGCAGGUCAGCAUACUGCCGUGAAUACGUUCCCGGGCCUUGUACACACCGCCCGUCACACCAUGAGAGUUGGGAAUACCCGAAGCCUGUGAGCUAACCGUAAGGGGGCAGCAGUCGAAGGUAGAAUCAAUGAUUGGGGUGAAGUCGUAACAAGGUACC